rnacentral:lncRNA from 1 species
AAUACAUGUGCUAGUCUAAUAUUCAUGUGUGUCCUCACAUGAACUCCGACUAGGGACAACUUUAGAAUAACCAUACAAGUAAAGAGUUUCACAUACAAUUCACAUAAUUGCAAAUCAAUUCAAGUAGCCUUCAAAGGAUAUUCAAUGAACACAACAUACAAAUCAUGGAUACAAAUGGAAUAUCAUCAUCUCUAUGAUUGCCUCUAGGG